AUUGAACGCUGGCGGCAUGCCUUACACAUGCAAGUCGAACGGCAGCACGGGAGCAAUCCUGGUGGCGAGUGGCGAACGGGUGAGUAAUAUAUCGGAACGUGCCCAGUCGUGGGGGAUAACGUAGCGAAAGCUACGCUAAUACCGCAUACGAUCUAUGGAUGAAAGCGGGGGAUCGCAAGACCUCGCGCGAUUGGAGCGGCCGAUAUCAGAUUAGGUAGUUGGUGAGGUAAAGGCUCACCAAGCCGACGAUCUGUAGCUGGUCUGAGAGGACGACCAGCCACACUGGGACUGAGACACGGCCCAGACUCCUACGGGAGGCAGCAGUGGGGGAAUUUUGGACAAUGGGCGCAAGCCUGAUCCAGCAAUGCCGCGUGCAGGAUGAAGGCCUCGG
rnacentral:rRNA from 1 species